AACAGGGCUCCCAGUUCCAGCCCAUUUCCUCACCUAUAAAUAUGAGUUACCCCAUGCCCAUCUGCAAAAUGGGCAUCAUAAGAGGCCCUUCCUCCCGGCAGCCAUGGAGAUUGAAUGAGCCAGGCCAAAGAGCAGGAGGCACAGCCCUGGCUCAGGGGUAGGCGCUGAGUUGCACACGGAGCUGGGGCAUGGUUACCCUGCUCAGAGCCUUGGAUCCCCUGGCUGCAGAGAAUGACAUCCAUAAAUGGCCUGGCACACAGUGAAUUAGCUCCUGGAGCUUCAUUUGUCUUCCAGGGUCAGCUGAAACUAUCAGCCAGCAACCCUGCAUCUUAGCGAUCUGUCCUCAGGAAAUCGCUGACCAGCAGGCAAGUCUGGACGCUGAGGACACCCCUCUCAACACGGUCUGUGAUGCAAAAACUUACCUGGACAAACAGAAAUCUCACCUAACACUGAUGAUGAACAUCUUGCCCAUGGCCUGACUGGGAGGUCCCUCUGCCAACCACAGAUCAGCUUAGAAGACAGUAUUGCUGCUUCGUUUAAUUGUAUAACUCAUCCAAGUUCAUAGAAGAACUGGAAACUGUCAACAGAGAAAUUUGCAUCUCCUGUUGGAACACACCACAGAGGAGCCUCAUGUGUCACCAUUUCGGGCGACAAAGUCUUAUGAAAUCUGAAAAAGUUCUGGGGUGGCCAGGUGGGUUCGGAAUGAGGAGGCCAGAGAGGAGUGAGAGGCGUCGUGGGGCCCCAGGUAGGGGCAACCCUGCUGGCUUGAUGAACGGCCCCACCCCCACUCGACAGGCCUCACAGACACCAGGCCAGAUAAGCGCACGCCCAUCCAGGCCAUUUUUCCUCUGCUAUCUCUUGCUGAGGCGAUGCUAACAUACCGUCAGCCCUCUGUGUGAUGGAUGGCCUUGGGAAGCCGGCCCACCCCCACUGAUUGCACCCACCCUCGGAGGGGCUUCCCAGAGCCUGCCUGCUCAACUUCAAGACUGGUUCCCUUGGGGGUAAAUAAUGAGCACCCCAGGGGUCCUUUCUGGGGCUUCGCACACGUUGAUACACACCUGUGCCCACGUUCACGCACAGGUGUGCUGUGCCUUGACCUAGCCGACUUUGAAAGCUUAGAACACGUCAGUCCACUUCCCAGGGACUCGCCCAAGACCACAUGGCCAGACGUGAGCUUCUUACUGACACUGUAUUAAGUCAUUAUUGGGAUCCCCUCCAGUUCCAGUGGCUGAGACACCAUCAGAGCUAUCUUGGACGAGACCGGCCAACCACCACAUCCUCAGCCCCUCUUGGUUUGAGUUAAGCACCAGACACCCCAGACCGCUAUUUCCUGGGAAAUGUUGACCAAUGUUUUGUCUCCCUCCAAAAUCCUCAAGGGCAUUCAGAAACAGGAGAGUAAUGAGGGAGCCUUACGCUAGACACACUUCCAAGCUGCAAGCUUCCUGUGAAGCAAAACAGAACAGACUUCAUAUGGCGGAGUCCACCAGCGUGGGCGCGUCCCAGGGCCCAGCAGGAUAAACAUCGGGCUCUCUGAUCCCGACCUCCAGACAUACCCAUUUGUCCUGGCUGCUCCUCGGACACAUGAAUGCCUGUCUCAGACCCCACCCUUCACCGCCAGCCGUCUCCGGGGAAGUGACAAACACCGGAUAGAGCCAAUGGGCCCCCGGAGUCCGGAUGCCCACCAUCCAGGGCUGUUUAUGUUUGAGCCCAUCUUGGAAGAAAAAUGUGAGAACGCCUGUUCAGAACAUGGUGGCCAAGCCGGGUCCAUCCGGUGCCAAGGAGCUAAACACAAUGGGAAAGGAGGCGCAGAUGGAGCGGAAGGAUAGGGCCAGACACGCCCGCUGAGGGAGACCACUGGGCCAGGCUGGGCCCUUCCCUGCGCCCUCCGUCUUUAUGCUGCAAAAGGGCACCUGGGUGGUUCUUCCCUCCACCCAGGACUUUCUGACCAUUCAUGCCUCCCUCUUGGCCCACCGAGUCGUGUGAGUCCAUCCUUCACUCUGCCCAUAAAACCACCAAGUUGUAGGCAAUGGACAUUCAAGACAGAUGGGCAAGAGUUUCUCGUGCGGGUUGUCGGUCAAAGCGCUUUCAAAUAGCAGAACCUUAUUUUAUCCCCAGCUGAAAUCUGUUGCUCUUUCCAAGGAAGGAUGAGAGGCAGAGGGGCCCUCUUCAGCCUCACCGCCAUGCUGGCCACUCAAACAGCACGCCUUCAGGAAGACACCAGCCUUUGAGCAUGCAGGAGUCCUGAGGCCUGUGGCUUCCUGGGAACCUGCAACGGCAUCGGACAUUGAGGCAGAGUUGCUGUUACCAGUUUCACAUCUUAGUAAGAGCCACAGUUUUUGACAUGUCAACACUCCCCUCCCACCCAAAAAGCACUAAUCAAUCAAUGUUUAUUAAAAGCCCACCUUGUGCACAGGGCUGUUGGUUAAAACUCACCAAUCCCCAAGAUACUCAGGGAAAGGCUGGUUGCCUUUGGAAGCAGGAAUGCUCAUCUCGGGUUGUCAGAAGACUUGCUUUGGGGAGAUCCUCGAAUUCUGUUUCUAGUAAGUUUCUGCCUUUUGAUUCACAGUGUGACUGCCAGCAAGUGCUUGGUGUUUUUCAACUGCAAAACGGAGAUAAGAAUGGUACCCACCUCUCUCGAGGGAUGGCUGUGAAAAUUAAAUGAGUGACGCACAUAAAAUUGUGAUAACCAUGCUCUUAACCGCAAAACUCUGCAUUAGAAAGUACACAGUUUCAACCGUGUCUAACAGAAACUACAGUAAACAAAAGUCGAUUUCUCUCACUCAUGAAAGCCCAGGCUCUGAUCUGCAAAGUCCACAGGGGCUCCGGCUCCCUCUGUCUUGCUGUGCCUCUCCCACUGCGAGGUCGUCCUCAUCUGCAAGGCCCUGAGCAGCUCACCCUCGCCCACAGUGCCCACCCCUUGGGUGGGAAGAGGAAGGGUUACUGGGUAGAGUCACAUGGCCACAACCAGCCGCAAGGGAGGGUGGGAAAUGGAAUCUUUAUUUUGAGCAGUCAUUUCUUUUACUUAAAACUGGGAAUAUUACCACAUAGAGGAAAGGAAAAUGGAUAAGGGUGUUAACAGGCCGUCUCAGCCACACCCCAGGAGGUAAGGAUUGUUAUCCCAUGUUACAGAUGGCAACACUGAGGCUCAGAAUAGUGAAAGAAAUUGCUCCAAAGCACACAGCUUCCUGAAAACCCCAGCCUUGCCCACUGGGCUGCACCAUCUCCCAAGCAGCGGUGGAGGACGUGGUGCUUUCUCCACGCCGAAACGUGGAAUUUCACAGGAGAACAGGGUGGUCACUGGGAGGCUGGGUGGGUGGCAGGAAGCAUGGGUGAACUGACACCCAUUUGCCAUGGAGGCCCCCCAGGGAAGAGAGACUCCCAUUGCUAAGGCAGGGCAGGUUCUCAGGAAUGCGGCUUCUUCAAGCAGGAGGCAGCCCGGAGGUCUUUUCCCCACUGCUCCUUUCUUCCACCAUCCCAAGGGCUUAGGAAUGCAGAGGGGAGUCUCUCCCAAGAGCCGGCUGAUGGGCACUCCUCCCCAGUGCUCCCUGCAGGGCAGUGCCCAGUGGGGUGGGGCCAUCGGGGGCUGCCAGCUCCAAAGCCACCCUCCACACGCAAUGGGAGCUGGAAGGACAGAAAACCAGGCUGGCAGAGGGGUCAAGGCAGAGGCGAGUGCCCUGUGCAGCAGACCCCUCUUGGGUGCCAAUCUUGCAUCCCCCCCAGCACUGGGCUGGGCACUUCACCCAUAUCAAUGACCCACCACUACAGGCAGUAGGCCAAAGAGGUGGGUACUGUUACUAUUCCCACUGCCCAAUAAGGAAAUUGAGGCCUAGAGACACGAACUAACUAACCCAAGUGAUUCCCUAGAAGGGGCUUUGAACCCAGGUGUUUGGGCACUAUGGCAUCAGCCUGGUCCCAUGAAUAAUCACCAUCUUUGCAGCCGAGGGAAAGUUCAAAGGCAACGUGGCUCAAGGCCACCUCUCGAUAAGCGACUCCACCAAGCAUCUUUUACAUAGAAAUUCUGGAGACACACCUCAGACAGGUCUGGGGGUCCAAGGGAUUUCCAUUCAAAGAGUAUCUUGGGCUUGACUCAGUGGCUUACAUCUGCACGCCCAGCACUCUGGCAGGUCGAGACAGGCAGAUCACUUGUGCCCAGGAGUUUGAGACCAGCCUGGGCAACAUAGUGAGACCCUAUCUCUAC